UACGUAGGGCGCAAGCGUUUGUCCGGAAUUAUUGGGCGUAAAGAGCUCGUAGGUGGUUUGUUACGUCUGCUGUGAAAACCUAGGGCUUAACCCUGGGCCUGCAGUGGAUACGGGCAGACUAGAGGUAGGUAGGGGAGAAUGGAAUUCCCGGUGUAGCGGUGAAAUGCGCAGAUAUCGGGAGGAACACCGGUGGCGAAGGCGGUUCUCUGGGCCUGUACUGACGCUGAGGAGCGAAAGCGUGGGGAGCGAACAGG
rnacentral:rRNA from 1 species